rnacentral:ribozyme from 1 species
UUUUUUUUUUUUUUUUUUUUUUUUUAUCAUAAUUGCUGCA